rnacentral:misc_RNA from 1 species
ACCUCCCUCAGAUUCUUGUACGUCAUCAUCCUCACUAUAGGGAAGUGUGCGAUAGGUCAUCUUCAUCUUGAGAUUUACUUGGAAAAGAUGCAUGGAUAGGUCCAUAUUGGAGAAGGCAAAUUUAGAAAUAAAUAGCUCAUACAAUCCCUCCAAAUGCAUAAGCUUCACUGGCACCUGGUUACCUAUACGAUCAGCUUCAAAUCGUCUAGUGAAGAGGGUUCCCAUGUUCUGGAUGCCA